UACGUAGGGGGCGAGCGUUAUCCGGAUUCACUGGGUGUAAAGGGAGCGUAGACGGCCAUGCAAGCCAGGGGUGAAAGCCCGGGGCCCAACCCCGGGAUUGCCCUUGGAACUGCAUGGCUGGAGUGCGGGAGGGGCAGGCGGAAUUCCUGGUGUAGCGGUGAAAUGCGUAGAUAUCAGGAGGAACACCGGUGGCGAAAGCGGCUCUCUGGCCUGUAACUGACACUGAGGCUCGAAAGCGUGGGGAGCAAACAGG
rnacentral:rRNA from 1 species